GAUGAACGCUGGCGGCGUGCCUAAUACAUGCCAGUCGAGCGAACAGACGAGGAGCUUGCUCCUCUGACGUUAGCGGCGGACGGGUGAGUAACACGUGGAUAACCUACCUAUAAGACUGGGAUAACUUCGGGAAACCGGAGCUAAUACCGGAUAAUAUAUUGAACCGCAUGGUUCAAUAGUGAAAGACGGUUUUGCUGUCACUUAUAGAUGGAUCCGCGCCGCAUUAGCUAGUUGGUAAGGUAACGGCUUACCAAGGCAACGAUGCGUAGCCGACCUGAGAGGGUGAUCGGCCACACUGGAACUGAGACACGGUCCAGACUCCUACGGGAGGCAGCAGUAGGGAAUCUUCCGCAAUGGGCGAAAGCUUGACGGAGCAACGCCGCGUGAGUGAUGAAGGUCUUCGGAUCGUAAAACUCUGUUAUUAGGGAAGAACAAAUGUGAAAGUAACUAUGCACGUCUUGACGGUACCUAAUCAGAAAGCCACGGCUAACUACGUG
rnacentral:rRNA from 1 species